UUAGUAAACCAGCUGAUCGCGGCUGCAAGUGCCGAAAGGCCGCAGGCGAGGAAAGUCCGGGCUUCAUAGGGCAGGAUGCCGGAUAACGUCCGGUGGAGGCGACUCCCAGGCUAGUGCAACAGAAAUAUACCGCCACAAUACGUGGUAAGGUUGGAAGGGCAGUGUAAGAGACUACCGCCUCUUUGGUAACAAAGAGGGCAUAUGUAAACCCCAUUCGAAGCAAGACCGAAUAAAGACAAUGCGGCGGCCCGUCGCGUCUUAGGUAGGUCGCUGGAGCCUAUCGGUAACGGUAGGCCUAGAUAGAUGAUCGGCAGAUACAGAACCCGGCUUACGGUUUGCUAAAGCA
rnacentral:RNase_P_RNA from 1 species